AAAAGUAUACAUAUUUAUUAGUUGGAGAACCAAAUGUACACACUUAGUAGUUGGAGGACUAAAAGUGCACCAAAUGAAAAGCUUUUUGAGGACCAAUGGAUCAUCGAGGUCUUUUGCCCCCAAACAAUAAUGAAGAUCCACAUAACCUACAAGAAAGAAAUGACCAAAAGAAAUCAGAUGGGAAACUAAAAUGACUAAAGACUAUAUCUAAGAUUAAUCUUAACCGAAAAACUGACGUCUAUAUGUUGUUGCAUGUACACUAUUCAACCAUUCCUACAUUUAGCCGUUGAAGCCAAUUUAUAUGGCUCAAUGGUAGAGCCACCACUGUCCAUACUCCCGGUUUAUGCAUUCGUCCAAAGAUGAAGGCCUUCAUCAGGUGCCAUUGUUUGUCGUGACAACCACAAUCAGAAGAAUAACAACUGAAAGAAGUAAUGAAGAUCUCAUCUUUUCUUCCACAAGAUCUGCGAGUUCUGAGGUUGGUUUUUCCUU
rnacentral:lncRNA from 1 species